GCAUAUCAAUAAGCGGAGGAAAAGAAACCAACAGGGAUUGCCCUAGUAACGGCGAGUGAAGCGGCAACAGCUCAAAUUUGAAAUCUGGCUCUCGGGCCCGAGUUGUAAUUUGUAGAGGAUACUUUUGAUGCGGUGCCUUCCGAGUUCCCUGGAACGGGACGCCAUAGAGGGUGAGAGCCCCGUCUGGUUGGAUGCCAAAUCUCUGUAAAGUUCCUUCAACGAGUCGAGUAGUUUGGGAAUGCUGCUCUAAAUGGGAGGUAUAUGUCUUCUAAAGCUAAAUACCGGCCAGAGACCGAUAGCGCACAAGUAGAGUGAUCGAAAGAUGAAAAGCACUUUGAAAAGAGAGUUAAAAAGUACGUGAAAUUGUUGAAAGGGAAGCGUUUAUGACCAGACUUGGGCUUGGUUAAUCAUCUGGGGUUCUCCCCAGUGCACUUUUCCAGUCCAGGCCAGCAUCAGUUUUCCCCGGGGGAUAAAGGCGGCGGGAAUGUGGCUCUCUUCGGGGAGUGUUAUAGCCCACCGUGUAAUACCCUGGGGGGGACUGAGGUUCGCGCAUCUGCAAGGAUGCUGGCGUAAUGGUCAUCAACGACCCGUCUUGAAACACGGACC
rnacentral:rRNA from 3 species